GUACUUACUUGGCAGGGGAGAUCACAGCAUGGUUUUCCCAGGGUGAGGCUUCUCCAUUGCACUCUGCAUGCACUGGUCCCUGUGAUAUCCCCAAAUGUGGGAAACUGGGAUGCACAAUUUGUGGUAGUAGAAGGAGAUAAAUGUCUCUUACA
rnacentral:snRNA from 1 species